ACCAAACCGAUAAUCUAGAGUAGUAGAGAAUGAUGAAUGUUUAAAGAGAGCCGUCAAUGGUGAGAAUACGGCAACAGGAAUUUUCUUGAAUGGACUAGAGAGGGCAGCUCUGAAAUCAUAGUAGGAGCUGACGGGAAACCCUAUCCGUUAACAAGCAGGGUACAUAUGAUAGUAUGUAAAACGAGUGGGCGCUAUAACAGCGCCAAUUUGGGUGGUAUCGCAGGAGUCUAAGCUCUUGUCCCUUUU
rnacentral:ncRNA from 1 species